GCCGAAGUGGCGGAGCUGGUAUACGCGGUAGAUUCAAAAUCUACUGCCCGCAAGGGCUUGUGGGUUCGAGUCCCACCUUCGGCA
rnacentral:tRNA from 1 species